CUAUAGAUCAGUAAGAGACUUGUUUUCCAAAUCCACUAAUUUUGAUCCAAAUCUUCCAAAUCUCUACAAUUUACAAGUAGUAAACUGCAUUGCAUUCUUGUUCUUUCUUUGUCUUUGCAUAUCUAUGGCUUUCCAAUUUAAAAAGAAUCAUUUCAGCAUCCUCUCUGUUUUAUAAAGACUUGGGGAAUUAAUUUCUAUCAGUGACAGUGUGUGGAGGAGGAAGUGCAUAAUGUAUUUUACAACAAUUUUACAAUUGAUCUACACAUUUGUACAGUUAUUUGGUAUUUAUACAUCCAUCUAUAAUAUGUUCUGUACAUUAAGGGAUAAUUCUGUAAAUAUACACCAUAGUUUAACAGCAUAUAUUUCAGUAGCUUUGUUACUUGCGUUCAUGACUAAGUCUACCCUACUAUUUCCUUAGGUGAGUUCUUUUCAACUGUUCUUUUAAUUAGUGUUGGUUCCAUUUUCCAUUACUAGAAAUGGUUUUUCAUUUCUCUAACCAUACCCCCACUCACUUACUGAGUGUACAUGCUCCUACAUGCCCUAUAGUGCGUUACUACUACCUUUGGGGGGGUGGAUGUGUUAUACCAGAGCCAAUUCUACUGUCAGGAAGUGUUAAGUAUGUUAAGUACCUGUUUAUAUAAUGCUAUUUAUGACUAG